rnacentral:sRNA from 1 species
UGCUGAAAGAGGCAAGGUUUUAGUCUCAGUUAGCUUCACUUCCAGGAACCUGUCCAAAAAACCUAAGUACAGAUACAUUUAAGCACAAAGACAUAGGGGUAUUCAUGAUGGGAAUUUAAAAAACAAAAAACCUGAAACAAAAAGCAAAUAAUUAAACCAAGUACAAGAUUAGAAAUGCUGACAAUAUUUAUAAUGGUAUACAGAAAUGUUUGUGAAGUUAUUUUGUUUUGUUUUGUUUUUGAGACAGGGUGAAUGUUUAGAAAUAGACCUUGUCUGUCAUGGUCACACCAGCUGCACCAGCACCCAGGUGACCAACUUACACCAGAUGAUCAAUAAAUAUUUGUAUGAAUGAUCUGAAUGAUGCAAGAGUGUCUCAUACUGCAACAUCCUGCAGCCCUUCCUCACCACACUCUAAAUGACAACUUCUUUCCAACAGAGAAAUAACCUGGAUGCAAGAAUCACCAAACUAACCUACUCCCAGCGGCCAGACAAUAAAAUCCAAGCCAGCUACUGGGUUAACAUCACCAAGGACGGUGGGAGCUUUGUCAC